rnacentral:lncRNA from 1 species
UGGAGAAAGUGGAUAUGGAGAGAAAACUAGUUAUGCUGAGGGAGGUAAGUAUGGAGAUAGUGGCUACGAAAAAAAGACUACCUACGGAGAUAGUGGCUAUGAAAAUAAGACUAGUUAUGGAGACAGUGGCUAUGAAAACAAGACUGGAUAUGGAGAUAUUCCAUCUGAAACUACCUAUGGAGAGAAAACUAAUUAUGGUGAAGGAGAUACCUAUGGAAAAGCUGCUGCCCACUCAUCCGAGACCACUAAUUUUGAAGAGAAUACUGAUGAUGAAGGCAAAACUGGUGAGGAUUAUGAGAAAGAGAAAAGGCACC